GACGAACCGUGCGAACGUUGUUCGGAAUCAUUGGGCUUAAAGGGCGCGUAGGCGGGCUGGCCAGUCCGGGGUGAAAGCCCACGGCUCAACCGUGGAAGUGCCUUGGAUACUGCCAGUCUCGAGGGAGGUAGGGGCGUGCGGAACUUCCGGUGGAGCGGUGAAAUGCGUAGAUAUCGGAAGGAACACCGGUGGCGAAAGCGGCGCGCUGGACCUCUUCUGACGCUGAGGCGCGAAAGCCAGGGGAGCAAACGGG
rnacentral:rRNA from 1 species